rnacentral:rRNA from 1 species
UACGGAGGGUGCAGGCGUUAUCCGGAAUUAUUAGGUUUAAAGGGUGCGCAGGCGGACUGGUAAGUCGGCGGUGAAAUACCGGGGCCUAACCCCGGGGCUGCCAUCGAUACUGUUGGUCUUGAGUGCGGACGAGGAAGGCGGAAUGUGGCGUGUAGCGGUGAAAUGCUUAGAUAUGCCACAGAACACCGAUUGCGAAGGCAGCCUUCCAGUGCGUAACUGACGCUCAUGCACGAAAGCGCGGGUAGCGAAC